GACGAACGCUGGCGGCGUGCUUAACACAUGCAAGUCGAGCGGAAAGUCCCUGCUUUUGUGGGGUGCUCUAGUGGCGAACGGGUGAGUAACACGUGAGUAACCUGCCCUUGACUUUGGGAUAACUUCAUGAAACUGGGUCUAAUACCGGAUAGGAGCUCCUGCUGCAUGGUGGGGGUGGGAAAGUUUCGGCGGUUGGGGAUGGACUCGCGGCUUAUGAGCUUGUUGGUGGGGUAGUGGCUUAGCAAGGCAUUGACGGGUAGCAGGCCUGAGAGGGUGGCCGGCCCCACUGGGACUGAGAUACGGCACAGCCUACUACGGGAGGCAGCAGUGGGAAAUAUUGCACAAUGGGCUGAAGCCUGGCGCAGCAAAGCCGCGUGCGGGAUGACAGCCUUCGGGUUGUAAACCGAUUUCGCCUGUGACGAAGCGUGAGUGACGGUAAUGGGUAAAGAAGCACCGGCUAACUCCGUG
rnacentral:rRNA from 1 species